GAGACCUUCCAGCCUUCCCUACAGCGUAGAGGCGAAUCUGCAGUCAACUGUCUCGUCUUUCAAGGGAGAAACUAGAGCAGCUUGCCAGCAGAACAGGCAGGAAUGAGCAGCCUCAGGUAUGUCUUUAUCAGCAGCAUAAAACCGGACUAAUACAGUAAAUUGGUACCAGGAGUGGGGUGUUGCUGAAAAGAUACCUGAAAAUGUGAAAGCAACUUUGGAACUGGGUAUCGGGCAGAGGUUGGAACACUUUGGAGGCCUCAGAAGAAGAUAGUAAAAUGUGUGAGAAAGUUUGGAACUUUCUAGAGACUUGUUGAAUGACUGACCAAAAACCUGAUAGUGAUAUGGACAAUAAGGUCCAGGCUGAGGUGGCCUCAGAUGGAGAUGAGGAACCUUUUGGGAGCUGCCUCAGAUGGAGAUGAGGAGCUUGUUGGGAACUGGAGCAAAGGUUACUCUUGUUAUGUUUUAGCAAAGAGACUGGAAGCAUUUUGCCCCUGCCCUAGAGAUUUGUGGAACUUUGAACUUGAGAGAGAUGGUUUAGGGUAUCUGGUGGUACAAAUUUCUAAGUAGCAAAGCAUUCAAAAUGUGACUUGGGUGCUGUUAAAAGCAUUCCAUUUUAAAAGAGAAACAGAGCAUAAAGUUCAGAAAAUUUGCAGCCUGAUGAUGCAGUAGAAAAGAAAAACCCAUUUUCUGGGGAGAAAUUCAAGCCAGCUG
rnacentral:lncRNA from 1 species